AUGGAGGACGAAAACUCUAUGAAAGAACACAUUUCAGGCUACUUUUAUAGCCUUUUCUCCUCCACGGCUAAGCAUAAUAAUACAUGCAUCCUAGAAGCAAUUACUCCAAGAGUACACGAAGGCAUAAAUGAUAUGUUGUGUGCCCAAUACACAAAGGAAGAAGUGAAGAAGGCACUUCUCGUCAUUGGGGAUCUCAAAGCACCUGGACCUGAUGGAAUGCCUGCUAUAUUUUUCAAAAAGUUUUGGCAUAUCAUGGGUGACCAAAUAACGAGGGAGGUGUUGAAUGUACUUAAUGGGGGAGAGAUGCCAGAGGAGUGGAAUAAUACGAUUGUGGUUCUUAUACCAAAAACACCAAGGCCGGAAAAAAUAAAUGACUAUAGGCCGAUCAGCCUUUGCAAUGUUCUCUACAAGAUGGUGUCCAAGGUAAUAACAAAUAAAUUAAAGUAUAUCUUACCAGACAUCAUAGGACCCAAUCAAAACGCAUUUGUACCAGGUCGUAUUAUCACUGAUAAUAUUUUAUUGGCCUAUGAACUAACACAUUUUUUACAAAGGAAAAGGAAUGGUGCAAAAGCCUAUGCAGCCAUAAAGCUGGACAUGAGCAAAGCAUAUGACAGGGUCGAAUGA
rnacentral:rRNA from 1 species